AUGUUUCUAUUUCCUCCUUCUAGAACUCUUAGAUGGGAAUUGAGGAGGUAUCCUGAAAGUCUUUUCCCUCCACAGUUCAUUGCUCAGGAAACCGAAUCCGGUCUCCCUGCUUGGGAGUGCAGGGACCGUCCAGCCCGGAAGCCAUGCUCGUGCAGCUGCCACCACCCAGGGAGAAGAACAGCUGGAAGCUUUGGUGGGCGCCCGACGAGCCGCGAGCAACUCUUCCUGUUAAUUAGCGCCAGCCAAGGCUCCAAAUGUGCCUUAUUGCAACCCCUAGCGGACUCUCAACUCGCCAAUAGUUUCUCGCUUUCCUGUCCCUGCUCUUGCGGAGAAAAAUUACAAACGUGCGUGCACACAUACACAUUUUCACACACGCCCUUCUUUCUUCACUCAAGAAAACCAUCGGUAACGUCUGUCUUCUAAAGAAAAUUCAACUCUUCGCGCUCUCUUUCUUUACCUAGAGGCUAGCAGUCCCGGCAAACACUCACUGGGCUCUCUCCGCUGCUUUGCGCGCCCCCUACCUGCCUACGGCGGGGGUGGCGCUGGGGGAAGGGGGUCUGGGAGUACGCUAGACUCAUUUCUCCAGUUGGUGCCGCUCCCCUGGCUCGGCACUUGGUAUCUCCCACCGUCUUGCUCUCGCCGGGAAGCCGGGAAGGAGGAGGCGACUGUGGGCGUCGCCGCCGCCCUUCCCGGAACCGGAGCCAAACCCCGAUCCGGGGUCCACGUCUCCUACUUCAGACUCACAUCUGGCCCAGCCGUGAAGAUAUUGGCGGCUGGAGAGUUACUCCACGCGAGGCGCCCCAAGUCCUGAGCAUGCCCAGUAGGACUCCUUAGGCUCCCAAAGCGAGUUUCUGAGCGUGCAGAUUCCGCUUUUCCGCUUUUUCGCGGAAGCUCAAGAGGGUGGAAAAGGAGGGAUCCAGGGCUUGGGGCACGGACCGAACCUGGGUGAGGGGCGGAGCCGGUUGGGGAGCCCAGGGAGCUGGCCGACCAGGCGGGGCAGCGGCUGGAGCGCAGGGCCCGGCUCCGGGGGUGGGGGAGGGGGGAAUAGUGUCAGCGCUGACCCGACGCGCCGCCAGGAGGCUGCGUGUGGCCGGCCUUCGCUCACUGAGGUCACGCUGGCAGCGGGAGGCAGUCAGAGGUCCUCUCACAGGGACCGACGCUAAGAAAGCUUGCGGGUCUCUUUCGCACCGCACUCACGGGCUGGGCUUUUCUAGAAGGCGGGGUAGAGGGGGAAAGGAGGAACCCAAACAUUUCUCUCUCUCCCCGCCACCUCGCUUUUUUCUUUUUCUUUUUCUUUUUUUUUGCUAAAGUUAUGCUGGCAAGAGACUUUGCAUUCUAAGUCAGUCCUCAGGCUUUACACAUCGCGGUCGUGAUCACGCUUCUGUAUAUGUGUGUGUGUGGUAUGUGCAACAGCGCGUGCGUUUGUGUAUGUCUUGACUAUAAAACACUAUCCCAGGUUGAUUUGGGGAUGACAAACACUCCUCCGAACCCCACUUCCCACCCCACCUAACCCUCUGGAGAAAAUAGAAGCUGGUCAUGAGAGUACUCUGGCCGGGAACUCAUCGUGGUACGAAAUCUAAAUUUUGUUGAUCCAUAUUUCCUUCCUUUGCUCCCCCACCCCCAGCUUUCUCCUUCCCUCCCUCCACCCUCUAACACCGUGAUCUUUCUCAUUUUGAUUUCCCUUUCCUUUGCCCGCUACCUGCUCCCUCAGCCCUCCUCUUCUGCUCCUCCUCCGGAGCUCCCCCUUCCUCCCCACCCCAUCUCAGCUGCGGCUAAAACCUGGAGUCUUGGUGGAAAAGGGAGAGAAAAAAAAAAAAAAAAGAAAACCUUGGCUGUGGAACUGUCAAACCGGGCAUGCUCAGUAGACAGGGCAGGUUUUUUGGUCUCAGUAGCGGAGAAACAUUUUUGCACCACCGCGACCAGCCUUAGAGGCGGCGGCGGCGGCCACAGCAACAUCAGCACAG
rnacentral:lncRNA from 1 species